AUACAGAGGGUGCAAGUGUUGUUCGGAAUUAUUGGGCGUAAAGAGCGCGUAGGCGGAUCAGCCAGUCGGAGGUGAAAUCCCUAGGCUCAACCUAGGAACUGCAUUCGAUACUUCUGAUCUAGAGUGCGGCAGAGGAUAGUGGAAUUCCCGGUGUAGAGGUGAAAUUCGUAGAUAUCGGGAGGAACACCAGUGGCGAAGGCGGCUAUCUGGGCCGACACUGACGCUGAGGCGCGAAAGCGUGGGGAGCAAACAGGAUUAGAAACCCCAGUAGUCC
rnacentral:rRNA from 1 species